rnacentral:tRNA from 1 species
GGAGAUGUAGUUCAGUAGUAGAACAUGCACAUUUAGAAUGUACGAGACAUGAGUUCGAUUCUCAUCAUCUCCG